UUUAUUAAGAGGUAGGGCCUGCUCACUGAUGUAUUUAAGAGCCGCGGUAUAUUGACUGUGCUAAGGUAGCAUAAUAAUUUGUCUUUUAAUUGAAGACUAGAAUGAAUGGUUUAACGAGAAAUUAACUUUUUUGAAAGUAACAUUUUGAAUUUAAUUUUUUAGUGAAAAAGCUAAAAUAGAAUAAAAAGACGAGAAGACCCUAUAGAGCUUUAUAUUUGAAUUAUUUGUUUUUAAAUAAUUUUGGUAAUCGCAAAUAAGUAAAUUAUUUUGUUGGGGCGACAUUUAGAUAAGAAAAACUUUUUAUUUUUAAAAUUUUAAUUGAAAAAUUUUUGAUCCUUAAAAAAGAUUAAAAGAAUAAGUUACCUUAGGGAUAACAGCGUAAUCUUUCUUGAGAGUUCUAAUCGACAGAAAGGUUUGCGACCUCGAUGUUGGACUAAAAUUAAAUUAAGGAGCAGUAUCCUUAGAUUUAGGUCUGUUCGACCUAUAGACUUUU
rnacentral:rRNA from 1 species